GCAGCAGACCGGUCUGUCGCUCGCCUGUUGAGGCGGGAGGAAAGUCCGGGCAACGCAGAGCGCCAUCCUUCUUAACGGGAAGCUAUUCGCAAGGGUAGAGUAAUGUAACAGAAAAUUACCGCCUCGCAUGUCGAGGUAAGGGUGAAAAGGUGAGGUAAGAGCUUACCGCUUCUGCCGGAAUGCAGAGGGUCAGUACGUCUGAUGGGUUGUAAGGUCAUGUAUACCGGCGUAUGUAGGACGGCUCGUCCGAUGUCGGGGGGUAGACCGCUAUGAAUUUGUCGGCAACGGCAAAUCAAGAUAAAUGACAGGCAUUUCCUUCCCGCUUGGGUUGGAUUUACAGAACCCGGCUUACAGGUCGGCUGCUUUU
rnacentral:RNase_P_RNA from 1 species